UCUCCGUUGGUGAACCAGCGGAGGGAUCAUUACAGAGUUGCAAAACUCCCAAACCAUUGUGAACGUUACCUAUCCCGUCGCUUCGGCGGGCGGCCCGGGCCCCGCGCCCGGCGCCCCCCGGCCCCCCGUGGGCGCCCGCCGGAGAUAAACCAAACCCUUGAAUUGCAUGGCCUCUCUGAGUCUUAUGUACUGAAUAAGUCAAAACUUUCAACAACGGAUCUCUUGGUUCUG
rnacentral:misc_RNA from 1 species